CAAAGCAGUUUUGUUUUUAUAAUUAAAUAUCUAGACUAAAUGCCAGAAUCUUGCUCUACAGUAAGAUUCUAGGGCAUCGAACAGCAUAUGUUACCUCCAACAUGCAAACAUUCAUAAGCAAACAUGUAACCAUUAUUCUGGUUUCAGAAGAUUACAUAAUGACAAGCUCCGUCUCUCUCAUUAAAGGCUUCCCCUGCACUAGCCUGCAAGCGUGACAUGAGCUCCUGGCUUUUGCAAACUGCUGUUCACAUGUGGGAGAUGCAGGCACACAUUAAUAAGUGAACAAGAACAAAAAAGGAGACGUCAAUCUCGAACUGGUUUCUGCUGGGAGGGGUGAACAGCCCCAGAAGCCGUGAAGCAGGGAGAUGGAAUCUUGUGGCUGAGGCUGGGAUACAGACUUGUCCUGGGGCUCUAACCCUGGCUGUCUGCUGUGUGCACUCUGCACCAGCAGAUGGAGUGCUUGCCAUCACUAAUUCACUCCGGUGUGAAAAAAACACACCCCACAACACAACAGGUUACUUAGACAGUAACGGAAGAAAGAAUCAUAUACACUUUCACAGGAGUCAGUCGUUUCACGGCCUCUGUGAACACAAAACGCAGGUCGAUGGAGCCUGAGCAGGAAAGGCUAAUGCAAGGGGAAGAGCAAUUGAGACUCAACAGUUCACUUUGGAUUGCAUUAGCUGCACUAUCACCUUGUAGCCUGGUCAAGGUGCAGCCCGAAGAGCACUAGGAGGACAAGAAAAGCCCAGUUGCUGCUGUCAGUGGUGUUGGUGGAGUGGACCAGCAAGUGGUGAUCUUGCCUCUGGACUAAAACCAAUGCUCUGCUUUGGUGACAGGGAACUGGACACUAGGAGGUCCUGUCACAAGGGUGAGACAUCAAUCGAAGGUCCUGACUGUUUGGCCAAGCUGGCACUGUUCAUAAGAGUAUGGAUUGUGUUCCUGGUGUCCUGACUUAAUUCCAUUUUGGGUUUUGCUCAUUCUGGCCUCCCUAAAUUUCCUCUUUAAUUAAAUAAGUUAAAUUUCUCCCUUCUCCACUUCAUCUGAAAUGGGUCUAUCAGUGCAUAAUGGCUGCCAACUUAUCCAGGUAGGUGGUGCAAAACAGCAGACGGUGAAAUGAGUCUUCUCCUAUAUGUAAAGCACAUUCGGUUCUUUUGGGACAGAAAGUAUUUUACAAAUACAAGAAAUAAUAUAUCUGUUAACGACAGGCCAAUAAUGGCAGCCUUAUAUAAUGGAACGAAUUAAUUAUUUCUCCAUUUAAAUGUGACAUAACCUAUAUAAUCACUUGAUGGUAGAACAUAUAGUUUGUUUUUUGUAAGCUGUCCAAGAAACUGCACUUUUUUCAUUGAAGAAGGAGUCUUAUUAUGACAACAGAAUUUCAACACUGUACAAAUAUGUAAGAAAGUUGUGUUUAUGUUGCCAUGUGAUAAGUGCUGAAUGCAAUUUUCCUUGCAGGUUUUCAACUGUGCUCGAGGAAAGGAAGUAGGAAAGGUCACAAAAAUUGCAGUGAAAAAGCUGUUGUCUGGUGUUGUACUGUGUGUGCAGGCACUGACAGAACUAAUUCAGAGCUGUUGAACACUAACAUUUAUUAAUAAACACAAUAAUGCAAGAAGCCAACUGGCACAAAACUAGAAGGCACUGCUGCCAAAACACCCUAGUGUGUCUAAAGGUUAAACAGUGCCAAAAGGUUUUGAGUGAUGUCAACCAUAGCAAGUGUAAGAAUACAGACAUAUGUGGGGAUUAUUGCUAAAUUGCAGCUGAAAGUUUUUGAAUAUCUGCCUGACAGUACUUCUAACUGCUCUUCUACUGUAUUCCAAAAGAACCUUCCCAGACUUUUAUUUUAAAAUAUCUUUAAUUGGAGAAAAAACUUAUGAAUGAAGUAUGCAUUACACAUAGUACAACCCGCAUACUAUGAUGUUUUGAGGACACUUUGUGAGAAAACGCUGUACGUUCUGCUCUUGUGAAUGGCUUUUACAACACAACGUUUAAACAAGUUAAAACAAGAGCCUGAAUGUCACCAGAAAAAGACUCUGCUGUCUGUGUCAUGUAUAAAUAGACACCUCCUGAGAUCCAGAUGUGCUGUUUCAAUCAAAUGAUUAGCACAAGGUUGCUUGCAAUGAGCAUAGCCAUAAGUUAGUGAAAACAAAUGCCACACAUACUGUACAAUUCAUUUCUGACUUACAUUAAGACACUGGGCUCUGACCCAAACAGCAACUUUUGAAUUAGACAGCUGAUCAAAUCGUUCCACAUUUUCAAUCACUUUUAUACUGAUGGCUAAAAAUAAACAACCGCUACCAUUUACCCUGGUGAAAUGUUUUUAAUAAGACAUUUUCUUUAGUCCCCUCAGGUACUAAUUUCACACCAGACAUCAGUCUCUGUCUGCCUUUCAGGUUUAUAAGGAUAUCUUAGUAUGUCUGUUCUACAAUUCUCAAGGCUUCAGGGGCUAGGUUGCUCAAUAAUUUGAGCCAGAGCGUAAAAAGUAAUGCACAGAUAUAGAUUUCAUGCCAUCUGAAUGUUCGAAAACAUACUACAUUAA
ensembl:lincRNA